rnacentral:rRNA from 1 species
GAGUUUGAUCCUGGCUCACAGUGAACGCUGGCGGCGUGGCUAAGGCAUGCAAGUCGCACGGGGUAGCAAUACCCAGUGGCGAAAGGGUGAGUAAUGGAUAGCUAACGUACCUUGAACACAGGCAUAGCCAGUCGAAAGAUUGGGUAAUUCCUGGUAACGCUGUUUCGCGGCAUCGCGAGACAACCAAAGAUGAGGACCGCAAGGCUUAUCGGUUUAAGAGCGGGUUAUCUUCCAUCAGCUAGUUGGUGUGGUAAUGGCGCACCAAGGCUAUGACGGAUAGCUGGUCUGAGAGGACGACCAGCCACAUUGGCACUGAGACACUGGCCAGACUCCUACGGGGGGCUGCAGCAACGAAUCUUCCGCAAUGGGCGAAAGCCUGACGGAGCGACGCCGCGUGUGGGAUGAAGUCUUUCGGGAUGUAAACCACUGUUAGGGUUAUGAAAGCGUUGGAGGAUAAUACCUUCCAAAGUUGAUCUAGCCCAGAGAAAGGGACGGCUAACUCUGUGCCAGCAGCCGCGGUAAUACAGAGGUCCCAAGCGUUACUGACAUUCACUGGGUUUAAAGGGUGCGUAGGUGGCGCGUUAAGUCAGUUGUGAAAUCCCCGGGCUCAACCCGGGAAAAGCUUCUGAUACUGGCGCGCUUGAGGUCGGUAUAGGCUAC